UGCCUACGGGAGGCAGCAGUGAGGAAUAUUGGUCAAUGGGAGGAAUCCUGAACCAGCUAUGCCGCGUGCAGGACGACGGCUCUACGGGUCGUAAACCUCUUUUGCCGGGGAGCAAGGGCGGGGACGUGUCCCGGCCCGGAGAGUACCCGGAGAAAAAGCAUCGGCUAACUCCGCGCCAGCAGCCGCGGUAAUACGGAGGAUGCGAGCGUUAUCCGGAUUUAUUGGGUUUAAAGGGUGCGUAGGCGGGCUUUUAAGUCAGCGGUAAAAAUUCGGGGCUCAACCCCGUCCGGCCGUUGAAACUUGGG
rnacentral:rRNA from 1 species